ensembl:ncRNA lncRNA:CR44820 long non-coding RNA:CR44820
GAAGGAAUGGGAAAAUGUGGAAUAUUCAUUUGGCAGAUGGACAGGUCCAUGGAGUCCACAGCACCGGAGCUCCAGAGCAGGGGCUCACUUCCACCCGCCUGGCCUUAAUCACAGUCACGAGUCGAGUCGCCCAGUUUGGCAGAGACAAUCAUUUGUUAUUUGAUUUGCACAUCAGCCGGAUGUGGACGCGGAUACCCAAGCAGCCGGACAGCCAGGACGAAUGCAGGCAGUCCGGCAGUCAGUCAGCCAGCUAGUCAGCCAGGAUGUCAGGGCAUGGAGAAGCCAGGGGCCCGCAGCAGCGGAUGAGUUGGAGAUCCUCGGCACAAACAUUGCAAUUUCCAGGCGCCACUCGAUGGCCGGACAUCGUUGAUUGUUGCUGCUGUCCAUUUUCGGCGACUCCAAUUUAAAGGCCGUGUCGCCUGGCCCGCAGAUACACACUCAGAUGCAGAUACCCGUGGCGUUGACGGAAUGGAUUGCAUCCAGUCGGCUGGAGAGGCACCAGAUGGCAUCGACGAGGUGCUGAUGAGCCGCAGCUAGAGUCAACUGAAGUCACAUUUGUACUGCACUUGUCAUCCAUCCAACCGAUUGGGUUCCUCAACAGAAAGUUCGUUGAAGUGCGAGUCUUUUAAAUGGUGUCUUUUAAUUGAUUUAAAUCAUCAUUUUUUUUUUAAAUUUUCUUAUUGUUUGCUAAUUGUUUGAGUUAGUUUAUAAUGACAUAAACCACCUAGGAGAGGAGUUCGUCAAGCUAAAUGCCCCGGAGCUGCAUGGCGACCUAACCCUUUCCGUGCUGCACUUGUCCAUAUCGUUGACAUGUGUUGCGUUCUCUCUAAUUUAAUUAAAAUCAACUUGGGGCGGCUCCGGCAGUCUGCAACUGCAACUCCCCGCCUGCCCC